rnacentral:rRNA from 1 species
GACGAACGCUGGCGGCGUGCCUAAUACAUGCAAGUAGAACGCUGAAGGAGGAGCUUGCUUCUCUGGAUGAGUUGCGAACGGGUGAGUAACGCGUAGGUAACCUGCCUGGUAGCGGGGGAUAACUAUUGGAAACGAUAGCUAAUACCGCAUAAGAGUAGAUGUUGCAUGACAUUUGCUUAAAAGGUGCAAUUGCAUCACUACCAGAUGGACCUGCGUUGUAUUAGCUAGUUGGUGAGGUAACGGCUCACCAAGGCGACGAUACAUAGCCGACCUGAGAGGGGGAACGGCCACCAUGGGACUGAGACACAGCCCAGACUCCUACGGGAGGCAGCAGGAGGGAAUCUUCGGCAAUGGACGGAAGGCUGACCGAGCAACGCCGCGUGAGUGAAGAAGGUUUUCGGAUCGUAAAGCUCUGUUGUAAGAGAAGAACGAGUGUGAGAGUGGAAAGUUCACACUGUGACGGUAUCUUACCAGAAAGGGACGGCUAACUACGUG